rnacentral:lncRNA from 1 species
AAGCAAUUUGCUCAUAGCCAUAGCUUUCUUGUGAAAGUAGGAUAUUAACCCAGGUGUCUUGGUGCUGGAGAACAGAACUGGCCAGAGUCCAUCCUGUCUCCCACCGGCAUCCCAUUACGAAAUGAACACAGAAAAGGCAGGUCUGCAAUGCCAACAUCUAGUAUCUAUCCCAAAGACCAGGGAGAAAGGAAGGAAAGAUUCUGGUUCUGUCCUCUUCCCCAAGGCAAGGCUGGCUGCCCUACCAACAGAGGCAAAGAGAAGAGUGUGCAAGGCUGGCUGCCCUCCCAACAGAGGCAAAGAGGAGUGUGUGUUGAAAUAUCCAUUGAAUCCCUGAGACAACUGGAUCCUGGCCCAUUGAAUCAUAAACUCAUUAUGGAGGCUGGGAAGACCUAGAAUGUGGCAUCACUAUUUGGUUAUUUAGAAAAUUGUUACCUCAAAAAUGACCUAGGGGUCCUUAGAAUAAUAACACACAGAAGAAUAGCCUCAUUUUUCUGUUGGGCCCAGGAAACCAUGCCGAUUACCGACCGAGCUCUCAAUGGAAAAAUGCAGUCGGCGUGAACCACGCACGAACACAGCAGAGAAAGAAGAAAACACACACCACGAGGAACCCUAAUAGGACAAUACAUUAUAAGCCUCAUGGUACAUCCACUUGGUGUGCUGGGAGAGUCAGGAUGAGGACCUGAGAAGAACAGCAGCUUGAACCUGACUUCAUUUAACAGCCCACUGCCCUCUUGCCAAGAACCCAUCACAGACCUUCCCAGAAGAGAGGGAUGAGCCUCACCUAUGAAUAAGUCCUCAGAAACUCAAAUUUGAUUCUAAUGGAUUGUUUUCUCAGAAAGACUGAGCAUGUCCCCCCACAUCUCUGUCAUUUCCCACAGUAGUAACCUCUGCAGAUGCCACAUAGAAAACAAAACAAAACAAAAAAACAUGAGGUUGGUGGGCAGAUAGGCAGGGUAUAAACAAACAGCCUUGUAACCCAGAAGCUGUGUGAUAUACAGUAAACUUCACAACACUGAAAAGAUGUCCUAUCUGUUAAAAUGGGGUAAUAACAACUACCCGAAUGUUUAGGAAUAGAACUUCAAUAAAUGAUACAUUUUAUAGUACAGCAGACCAUCCUGUAAAGGUUUCAUCCUUCACUGUGGUGAUAAAUAUCCCAAACCACAUUGAAAAGCAUUGCAUCUACAUUUAUCUACACUGUAACUGUACUGUAAAUCAUGGGGGAGGGGAGAAUCAUAAAAACACCACCUGUCACCGUGUCAUUAAAGCAAGUUGGAAGUGAUACUUACAGAAACACAGCAAGAGCACCCCCAGUCACACAGUUCAAUCUCUUAGCAAGCGUUUUCUUUCUAGCCCAGUGGUUCUCAGUUUGGAAUUUUUGGCACUGCCUAGAGAUAGUUUUGUUGUUAAAACUGAGAAAAGAGCCGGGCGUGGUGGCACACGCCUUUAAUCCCAGCACUCAGGAGGCAGAGGCAGG